GACGGAGGGCGCAAGCGUUGUUCGGAAUUACUGGGCGUAAAGAGCGCGCAGGCGGUCGUUCAAGUCGAGUGUGAAAGCCCCCGGCUCAACUGGGGAGGGUCACGCGAUACUGCUCGACUUGAAGGCAGGAGAGGGAAGUGGAAUUCCCGGUGUAGUGGUGAAAUGCGUAGAUAUCGGGAGGAACACCAGUGGCGAAGGCGACUUCCUGGCCUGUUCUUGACGCUGAGGCGCGAAAGCUAGGGUAGCAAACGGGG
rnacentral:rRNA from 1 species